rnacentral:tRNA from 1 species
CGGAUGUAGUUUAGUGGUAAAACCUCAGCCUUCCAAGCUGAUGAUGAGGGUUCGAUUCCCUUCAUCCG